UACAGGGGUGGCAAGCGUUGUUCGGAAUUACUGGGCGUAAAGGGCGCGUAGGCGGCGCCACAAGUCACUUGUGAAAACUCUGGGCUCAACUCAGAGCCUGCAAGCGAAACUGUGGUGCUGGAGUAUGGGAGAGGUGCGUGGAAUUCCCGGUGUAGCGGUGAAAUGCGUAGAUAUCAGGAGGAACACCCGUGGCGAAAGCGGCUCUCUGGGACGGUACUGACGCUGAGACGCGAAAGCGUGGGGAGCAAACAGG
rnacentral:rRNA from 1 species